rnacentral:misc_RNA from 1 species
UGGGAGAACGCUGUGAGGCAUCUG